rnacentral:rRNA from 1 species
AUUGAACGCUGGCGGCAUGCCUUACACAUGCAAGUCGAACGGUAACAGGUUAAGCUGACGAGUGGCGAACGGGUGAGUAAUGUAUCGGAACGUGCUCAGUCGUGGGGGAUAACUGCUCGAAAGAGCAGCUAAUACCGCAUACGACCUGAGGGUGAAAGCGGGGGAUCGCAAGACCUCGCGCGAUUGGAGCGGCCGAUAUCAGAUUAGGUAGUUGGUGAGGUAAAGGCUCACCAAGCCGACGAUCUGUAGCUGGUCUGAGAGGACGACCAGCCACACUGGGACUGAGACACGGCCCAGACUCCUACGGGAGGCAGCAGUGGGGAAUUUUGGACAAUGGGCGCAAGCCUGAUCCAGCCAUGCCGCGUGCGGGAAGAAGGCCUUCGGGUUGUAAACCGCUUUUGUCAGGGAAGAAAAGGUUCUGGCUAAUACCUGGGACUCAGGACGGUACCUGAAGAAUAAACACCGGCUAACUACGU